rnacentral:lncRNA from 1 species
AUGCUGUCUCAAGCCCAGCUGGAGAAUCUCUUCCUUCAGUCUGCAAAGACAGAGCGCUGUAUAAGGAAUGGAAGGAUCAGUGCAAAAGGCUACCUGGCUGGCUUUGGGGAUCAUUCCUUUUACGCGAAGAAAAACAUAAAACACAUCUAUUUAAGUAAUCCAGAGUACUUUGCCCAAUUGCUAUUCAGGUAUUCAUUUCUAUAAGAAAUAUUACUCACAGCCACAGUGCCAUACUAAUAGCACCCUGUGGUAACAUACACAUCAGGACAAAGCUGAGGCAUUUCUGGAAAAGAAACAUUAAGGAUAUUGUGAAACCAUGAUUUUCAAAGCUUGAGAUCAUUAUCUCAUCUCAUAGUGUGCUGUUUCAUGGAUUUGCUUAUAUUCUCAACCCAAAGAUUGAAUGAUGAAUAUAAUUAUACCAAUAGGGAAUCUGACAAGACAAUCAGAAACAAGGUCACAAUUAGGGAUAUUAGUUGAACAAAGUGACAAUUAUUUACCAACAUAAAAUGAAAACAUGAAUUUCUAAAAUUUAGUUCUUGCUUUAAGGAAACCCAGAAGGAUCAUUUAAAUUAGAAUUUCAUGUUUGCUGCAACAAAAUAAGAAAACUCUAUGGAAUGUUUUGAGUACUUAAAAUUAGGGUGAUGAAAGUCCUUGUUUAUGGGGGAGGGGAUUAAUUCUAUUUUAUGCCUAUUAUCCUGUCUUAAUUAUUAAUGCUACAUCUUUUCACUCUCAAAAUUGCCUUUAAUGGAGUUUGAAAACAUGUGUUUAAUUAACAUGGGUGUUUGUAUCACACUAAUUCCAAUAAAAAUAUAAGGGAAAAUGUGUUUAAAAUUUGG